rnacentral:rRNA from 1 species
UACGGGGGGGGCAAGCGUUGUUCGGAAUUACUGGGCGUAAAGGGCUCGUAGGCGGCCAACUAAGUCAGACGUGAAAUCCCUCGGCUUAACCGGGGAACUGCGUCUGAUACUGGAUGGCUUGAGUUUGGGAGAGGGAUGCGGAAUUCCAGGUGUAGCGGUGAAAUGCGUAGAUAUCUGGAGGAACACCGGUGGCGAAGGCGGCUACCUGGACAGAGUCUGACGCUGAGGCACGAAAGCUAGGGGAGCAAACAGG